rnacentral:rRNA from 1 species
AUGAUGAAUCGUCAGUUUGCGAAUAUGAUAGUACACAAUUACCCCAAGGGAGUUUAUUCCCUGCGCCGGAUCAACCUCAUGGAGUAUCUCUUCUACCCUUCAACAGAAGCUGCCGAAAAGGCAGAAGUGAAUAAGAAGGGAUGGUUAUCCACCAUGUUGAAAGGGAGCCCCAAGCAGAGUCUGCCCAAGACGAACAUCAACUUCUCAUCACUGCCUAACAUGGCCGACUUAACUACCAGGCAUUUCUUCUCCCUGCUGAGAGGGCAGGGGGAGGGCUCUGUCAUGUUUGUCAGCCCUAACGUCCACACGAUGAUGUACGACACUAGCACGGACUUCGUCUUUGGCAUGCCACAAGCCAACUUCUGUAAGCAGAGUGACUCAAUCGCCCUGUCCAUCACUCGGCGGAGCUAUGGCCAGGACAACCACAAGCUCUAUGUCAUAGGAAAAGGAGAGGACAAUGCCUUGUUCGAGGUCUUGAACUAUACCAGGACAACUGAUCUGAACAACUCGUCUUGGUACUGGCGACCUCUACCCUGCCCGCCACUGUUUCGGCCGUGCCUGCCUGGCAGCAACAGCAAAGUUUGUCCUCCCUCUGCAGCCGCUGUGUUGGAUGCCGCCACAAUAUGUGUCUCAUCUGUGGAUGCUGGAGCCUGCGCCUUCUUUGACACGGCAACGCGCGAGUGGAGGCAGGCUGGCAGCUGGGUGCUGCCCAUCCACGGUGCGGCGGAGCGACCGGUGGUGCGGCACUCCUGGAACUAUCUCAGCGUCCUGCCCGAUGAGUGGUUGCCGCGGCAGAGGCACCUGCUAAACAUGGGCUCAGGCAAGUUCUGCAUCGCCACCAGCUUUCGAAAUCUCUUGAGGCACACCUCGUGCAGACCACUUCAUGGUGCAGUCAAUGAGCUUACUGUCUUGACCGGCGUGGAGGUGGUGCGCAAUGUCAAUGGUUUCCAGAUCAUCAAGCACAAGUCUGAAUGUUACAGCUUGGAGGACAAUAGAAUCCACUGUGUGCUCUGA